UUGUUUUAUCUCUAUGGCCUUCAACAUAACUUUUGAGUGUUUGUCGAAUACAAAAUUUCCUCUGCAACAGUAAACUCUGGAGUUUAAUGGUCUUGGUUACACCUGCCACCGCCGUCGUCACUCCCUUCUCUCAGCCGUCACCAACGCUGGCAUCACUCCCUUCUCUCAGUCGUCACUGACGCCGCACAGCGUCCCUCAGCCCCGUCACACCCCACAGCAUCGACCCCGGAGCAAGCCUCCUCAGGUCCUUCCUCAUUUUCUUCUUCCGCUCCUCCUGUUUCUUGAAUUGUUUUUAUUAAUUAUUUGCUUUUAAAUUUUGUGACAAGAUUUUUAAUUAUUGAAUGGAAUUAAAAUAGCGUUUAAAUUAAUCUUAGAUAUGAUAAACCCACUUGGGUCCACUCAGCAGCGAGGGUUAUGGUAGUUUGGAUGAGUUCUUACGUCUUAAUUUUAGUGUGUUAUCCCGGUCACUUUUAAUUAAACCCUUGUAGUUGUUGUCCAAAUUAGGUUUUCUGGGUUCAAAUGCCUUUAGGAUAUGCAUUAACUUAUUACUAGUCACCUCAUAGUCUUUAAUAUCCCUAGGAUUUAGUCACAAGCUUUAAGAAGAAAGUUUGUGUAGUAUUGGUUAGGUCUGGUAUAUGUGAAUCUAGAAUGUGUAGUUGAUACUGUGUAUUGUGUGUGUCUAGGAGUUCUGGUUUGGAUUUAGAUAUUUUUCAAUUACUUAACACGAAGUUCUUGGGAUUUUAGUGGGUGAUUUGGGUGAAAUAAUUGGAAAGUUUUGCUAAAUUAUGUACAAGGCUGUCAGUGUUGGUGGAUUACCUUACUAGGCUCAAGUGCUUCCGAUUGAUAUUAGUCAGCAGGGUUAUUGGGAGUCACAUCACCACCAUUUAUCACUAUGGUUUCGCCAAUCUUAUGCUCUACAGGUAAUCAUUUUAUGAUGCUUUUGUGAAUGUUUUUUAUAUAAUCACAUGGAUUUGUUGAAUUGAUAGCUUCGUAAUGUUCUUGAAUAGAUUUAUUUUGGUCCCUUGUACAAUGUUGGUUGGCCUUUUGGGCCAUAUGUUCUCCUUGCCAUUUGUAACUGAAGAUUGUGAAUGUCUCUUGUUUUUUUGCUUAUGAAAAGAAAAUGGCUAUCUAUAAAUUCUAAACCAUUUAUUCAUUUGAGGAACCUUUGCUCUGUAUGCAUUACCUAUUGGUUAAAUGGCCUUUUUCUACCGUAGAUUGGUAGUGUAGUUCUUGGACUUUACCAAUCUCUUUGUUGUUUUAAAUUAAUAGAUUUUUGUAAUUUUCUAAUUGUUCCUAAGCCAUAUAAAUUGAAUAAAAUAAAUUAAUUUUUUUUUUUCUGUUUUUCACUUAAAUGAAAUUGGUAGUCUUCUACCACUUUGGACAUGGUCUGCAACAAUCAGAAUAUUACAAAGGAGAUGAAAUUGACAGACUUGAUGAACCUAUUUGUCCUGAUGAUUUUAUGAGAGAAAGAAUGAUAAGUGAAAAUAAUAUAAAUUCUACCAUUGUUCAACCACUCAAGAAAGGUGCACACUCCCAUGCUAUUAUUGAUGCUUGUCAUGGUGGAAAAACUAUUGAUCUUAUGCAUCUUUGCCAAAAAGAAAAGUUAGACAUGCAAUGCUAUCUUUCAUUUGAUUUUAUGCUUGUAUUCCAUACUCACUCUUACCACUUGAAAGGCAACUAAUUGAUGUUUUUUGCUUGCUUGCAUAGGCAUAUGGAAAUGGAAGGAUAACAAACCAACCCAUAGUAAAAAAAAAACAUUGACAAAACAAACAAGUGGUGGAAGGGCCUUAAAUGAUCUUACCACUCAUUCACUAUGUAUGAAUUCAAUAUGGUGGAAGGACCUUAAAUGAUAAUUCUUACUAUUGUUCUGACAUGUGUUAGUGGUUCUGCGGGUAAGAAGUUGGCUGAAAGCAUCAUCAAAGAGAAGCUUGCAGGGAAACACACGUGAAGUGCUCCCUGAAUUUCUUUUUGGAACUUGAUCUAUCUUAACCAUCUGGAUGCUGCUAAGUUAGUUUGUUUGAAGCUGGGAAUUUCAAUGAGUCUCGUGACAAGCACGUUUUGCUAGAGAGAACUUCCAAGUUUCAAAUUAGCUAAUGCUUGUAGUAGAUCUGAAGCUAUUCCUCCAGAGUGGGCUGAAGCUGAACAAAUUUCAUAGGCAAAUGAAAGGUCUGAAAGACUUGAGCUACAAAUGAAGGAGUGGCAGGAACAAAAUCAGAAGACACAAGAGGAGAUGCUUAACACCCUUAAGGAUUAUGAAGAAUUCUCUAAUAAUGAUGACCAAUACAUAGUUAUUCUUUAGAGCCAUGAUACUUAUAUGGUUUUUUGUAUUAUGAGUUAGUAUCGUUCUUCCGUGAUUUUUUUAUACUUAGUAGUAACAUUUCUAUGGUUUUUUUAAUGACUGAGUAGCACUUAUAUGUAUUAUAGCUUAGUAGUUCUACUGUGAAGUGUUAUGGUUAUAUGGAAACGAAAUAAAUAUUUUGUGUUGGAUUAUGUA